GCAUAUCAAUAAGCGGAGGAAAAGAAACCAACAGGGAUUGCCUCAGUAACGGCGAGUGAAGCGGCAACAGCUCAAAUUUGAAAUCUGGCCCCCGGCCCGAGUUGUAAUUUGCAGAGGAUGUUUCUGGCGAGGUGCCUUCCGAGUUCCCUGGAACGGGACGCCAUAGAGGGUGAGAGCCCCGUACGGUUGGUCGCUAAGCCUCUGUGAAACUCCUUCGACGAGUCGAGUAGUUUGGGAAUGCUGCUCUAAAUGGGAGGUAUACGUCUUCUAAAGCUAAAUACCGGCCAGAGACCGAUAGCGCACAAGUAGAGUGAUCGAAAGAUGAAAAGCACUUUGAAAAGAGGGUUAAAUAGUACGUGAAAUUGUUGAAAGGGAAGCGCUUAUGACCAGACUUGGGCCGGUUGAUCAUCCAUCGUUCUCGGUGGUGCACUCUGCCGGCUCAGGCCAGCAUCAGUUCGGCGCGGGGGAUAAAGGCUUCGGGAAUGUGGCUCCUCACGGGGAGUGUUAUAGCCCGCUGCGUAAUACCCUGGGCUGGACUGAGGUACGCGCUCCGCAAGGAUGCUGGCGUAAUGGUCAUCAGUGACCCGUCUUGAAACACGGACCAAGGAGUCGUCUUCGUAUGCGAGUGUUCGGGUGUCAAACCCCUACGCGGAAUGAAAGUGAACGUAGGAGAGAGCUUCGGCGCAUCUCCGACCGAUCCUGAUGUUCUCGGAUGGAUUUGAGUAAGAGCAUACGGGGCCGGACCCGAAAGAAGGUGAACUAUGCCUGUAUAGGGUGAAGCCAGAGGAAACUCUGGUGGAGGCUCGCAGCGGUUCUGACGUGCAAAUCGAUCGUCAAAUAUGGGCAUGGGGGGCGAAAGACUAAUCGAACCUUCUAGUAGCUGGUUUCCGCCGAA
rnacentral:rRNA from 1 species